rnacentral:rRNA from 1 species
UACGUAGGGUGCAAGCGUUGUCCGGAAUUAUUGGGCGUAAAGAGCUCGUAGGCGGUUUGUUGCGUCGGCUGUGGAAUCCCGAGGCUCAACCUCGGGUCUGCAGUCGAUACGAGCAAACUAGAGUGUUGCAGGGGAGACUGGAAUUCCUAGUGUAGCGGUGAAAUGCGCAGAUAUCAGGAGGAACACCGGUGGCGAAGGCGGGUCUCUGGGCAACAACUGACGCUGAGGAGCGAAAGCGUGGGGAGCGAACAGG